rnacentral:rRNA from 15 species
UUUUGAGAGUUUGAUCCUGGCUCAGGAUGAACGCUGGCGGUGUGCCUUAAGCAUGCAAGUCGAGCGGGUCUAGCAAUAGACCAGCGGCAAACGGGUGAGUAACACGUAGGAAUCUACCUCAAAGUGGGGAAUAGCUGGCCGAAAGGCCAAUUAAUACCGCAUGUGGUCGUAAGACUAAAGUCGUAAGACGCUUUGAGAGGAGCCUGCGCGCUAUCAGCUAGUUGGUGGGGUAACGGCCUACCAAGGCGACGACGGCUAGCCGAUGUGAGAGCAUGAUCGGCCACAAGGUAACUGAGACACGGUGCCUACACCUACGGGUGGCAGCAACUGGGAAUCUUGCGCAAUGGACGAAAGUCUGACGCAGCGACACCGCGUGUGGGAAUAAGGCCUUCGGGUCGUAAACCACUGUGGCGAGGGAUGAAAUUUUGACCGUACCUCGCUAGAAAGCACCUGCUAACCACGUGCCAGAAGCCUCGGUAAUACGUGGGGUGCAAGCGUUAUCCGGAUUUACUGGGCGUAAAGCGUACCGUCGGCGUCUCAACAAGUUGUCUGUUUAAGCCUGAGGCCCAACUUCAGACCAGCAGACAAAACUGUGGAGAUUGAGUUGGUUCGGGGAAGCUGGAAUUCUCGGUGGAGGGGUGAAAUCCGUAGAUAUCGAGAGGAACGCCAUACGCGAAGGCAGGCUUCUAGGACCAUACUGACGCUCAGGGACGACAGCUCGGGGAGCAAAAGGGAUUAGAGACCCCUGUAGUCCGAGCCGUAAACCUUCUUUGCUAGCUGCCUUACUUUAGGGUGGGGUGGCGUAAGUUAACACGUUAAGCAAAGCGCCUGGGGAGUACGACCGCAAGGUUAAAACUCAAAGGAAUUGACGGGGGAGCGCACAACCGGUGGAGCAUGUGGUUUAAUUCGAUACGAAGCGAAAGACCUUACCUAGGUUUGACAUGUACCUGCACGGCUUAUGAAAGUAAGCCUUCUUCGAGAGUGGUACACAGGUGAUGCAUGGCUGUCGUCAGCUCGUGUCGUGAGACGUCCGCUUAAGUGCGGUAACGAGCGCAACCCUUAUCGUCAGUUACAAGUGUCUGACGAGACUGCCCCCGCUCUGCGGGGGAGGAAGGAGAGGACGACGUCAAGUCAGCACGUCCCUUACAUCUAGGGCUACACACAUCCUACAAUGGAGCCGACAACGGGUCGCGACGGGGUAACCCUGAGCCAAUCCUUAUAAACGGCUCCUCAGUUCAGAUUGAGGGCUGCAACCCGCCCUCAUGAAGCCGGAAUCGGUAGUAAUCGCAAAUCAGCAGGUUGCGGUGAAUACGUUCUCGCUCCUUGUACACACUGCCCGUCAAGCCAGCAAAGUUGGCAGGGCCCGAAGCGGAUGACUCUAACUCGCAAGAGAUGAGCUCUUCUACGGCCAGGUCAGCGAUGAGGACUAAGUCGUAACAAGGUAUCCGUACUGGAAGGUGCGGAUGGAUCACCUCCUUU